rnacentral:rRNA from 1 species
GAUGAACGCUGGCGGCGUGCCUAAUACAUGCAAGUCGAGCGAACAGACGAGGAGCUUGCUCCUCUGACGUUAGCGGCGGACGGGUGAGUAACACGUGGAUAACCUACCUAUAAGUCUGGGAUAACUUCGGGAAACCGGAGCUAAUACCGGAUAAUAUAUUGAGCCGCAUGGUUCAAUAGUGAAAGACGGUUUUGCUGUCACUUAUAGAUGGAUCCGCGCCGCAUUAGCUAGUUGGUAAGGUAACGGCUUACCAAGGCGACGAUGCGUAGCCGACCUGAGAGGGUGAUCGGCCACACUGGAACUGAGACACGGUCCAGACUCCUACGGGAGGCAGCAGUAGGGAAUCUUCCGCAAUGGGCGAAAGCCUGACGGAGCAACGCCGCGUGAGUGAUGAAGGUCUUCGGAUCGUAAAACUCUGUUAUUAGGGAAGAACAAAUGUGUAAGUAACUAUGCACGUCUUGACGGUACCUAAUCAGAAAGCCACGGCUAACUACGUG